CGAGGUGUCACGAGGGUCUCACUGUCUUAAGAAAAUUCCAGUGAAAUUGAAUUUGUAGUGAAGAUGCUACAUCCAAAUGUUAGACAAGAAGUCCCCAUGGAACUUUACUGGAGACUUAUGAGGCUUAAAUUAAUUUAUUUCUUACAAAUAAAUAGUUUUAAAUGUGGUGUUAACCUCUCGGGGAACCUAGGGUUGAAAAGCUCACUCUUUUAUUUAAAGAAAGCCAACUCAAAAAAUUAUGUUUUUGGGAUUUGAUAAGUGGGACAGUUUGGUUGGGGCGACCGCCUUUAAAAAAGUAACGAAGGCGGGCUUAAGAUACAUUUAGUGAUGUCUGACUGCCAAGGGGAGAUCCUGAGCAGACACUUACUUUGUAGGUGGGUUUAAGUGACCCGUUAAUUUAGGGGAAGAUAGUUAACGA
rnacentral:rRNA from 1 species